rnacentral:rRNA from 1 species
UACGGAGGGUGCUAGCGUUGUUCGGAAUCACUGGGCGUAAAGCGCGCGUAGGCGGCUUUGUAAGUUAGAGGUGAAAGCCCGGGGCUCAACCCCGGAAUUGCCUUUAAGACUGCAUCGCUUGAAUCCGGGAGAGGUGAGUGGAAUUCCGAGUGUAGAGGUGAAAUUCGUAGAUAUUCGGAAGAACACCAGUGGCGAAGGCGGCUCACUGGACCGGCAUUGACGCUGAGGUGCGAAAGCGUGGGGAGCAAACAGG